CAUGAUACGACUCUGACUUCUCCUCCGAUCGGUCGCCGGGUAGAGAGAACGGCAGUGGCGACUCGGCGGUACAGAGGAAGUCUCCGAAUAACAUAACGAUGUACAAAUACGAAGAAUAGGUGAGUGGGUAACAUCACAUCCAGACAACACCGUUAACUUACGAAGUUUCCUAAAAUUACCUCAAGUAACACCGACUCAGCACUUAGAGGUCGAACGAAGGUACAGAAAAGAGUGAUCUCUGUGGAGGACGGCCACUGCCGCUACUGGCGAUGGGACGAGGAGAGGGCCGUUUCUUGAACCGCCGCGUUAUCGUCGAGUUGAUGAUAACAAUAAUUAGUCCUAUUUACGAAGACGGACCGACCGUGUGUACGAAUCCGUGUUGUCAGACGAGGUCGUGGCGUCCCGUUCCGCGCGACGUCCAGUAAAUAUAUCGUAGAGGAGUAAACAUAUAAUAAGUGUAUAUCGUAGAGUAAAGAACCAACUAACGAAUGUACAUAAGUUGAAGACGGAGAAAGCGAGGGUUCGACCGGAGGGAGAGGAGCCACGAGUCGCCCUCUUCGUACUCCACUACGUGGAAACUGGGGCAUCACGAGCCGAGGUUAAGUAGUCCCUCCGGUGGCCGUUCGUAGUUCGACGGGAACCACGAAGGAGCAGUAGUUCCUCCUCCUCCAGCCCAUCGUAGCAGGAGUUCCGUGUUGGCGCUGUAGCGUCUCUACCUGCUCUAACACCACGACGAGGAAGAACACCACAUACGUAGCCGCACCGAACGCCAUCACUACGUAUAGAAGCACCCGUUACGAUAAACUUCUGGUAAGUUCACUAAAUUUCCUCUUCUACAGGUCUGACAUUCCUCCAACUUCUACUGCUAGUUUUCUAACUGUAUAAUUCGCUGACGGUUCUUCGGUUAUUACGAACGGGGGACGGUAAUCAUUAUGGGAACGAAGAAAUACUUUAGAAAGGAUUGAUAGCAACGUCUAACACUCUAGGGAUAAAUUUAUGUAAUGAGUCGUCGACCGGCCAUGUCUCAACGCACCGUCCGUAUACACAAGAGUCGGUGGAAUAGUUAACAUCCGAAUCUUACUAAACGAAGCAGGUUCACAACAAACAAUUGUUAAGGAAACAAACAGGUACAGUUAAGACUAAAAUCUCCUAUGUAUACAAAACCAUCCUUCACAUAACAAGAAUACAAAAAAGGACCAUACAUGACUGACUACGUCAUUGACUACGAAGUCUAAUACUUUAGGGAUAAUUUACUUAG
rnacentral:rRNA from 1 species